CUAUCACUAUCAUCUCUAGGUUUCAGACUCACAUUUUAAAAUGCAUAUGCUGCAAACAUGGACAGAAGUUGGAUUGCAGUAGACAAGAAGACAAAAUGAGUUGCUGCCAUCCUUUCAUGACCCUUCCAAAUCUAGCAACGGAAAUUCCAAUGCAAAACUUACAGUUUCAGUUGGUUCUGGUAAGUUUGUUAAUUUUUUUUGUUGUUAGAAAAAGCAAUUUGACACCAUAAAAAGACCUACUGUAGAAACAUCACAUCAACACAUAAAUAUAGGAAGAAGAGCAUAGACCAUUUCUCUUUGGGGAAAAAAAGGGGGGGGGAAUUUACUUAAUUUUCUUGAAGCAAACACUGAUUUAAUUUUCAUUGACAUACAUUUAUAAUGAUUUAAAAUUCUUCUGAAACUAAAAGAUUUAUGUGUUUGCCUUCUAAAUUUUAAUAGAAAAACUUUUUUCUCUCUCAGUCUCUCAAGAAAUCUAUAAUAAUCAUGAUAAAAUAUAUAUUCUAUUACAAAGCCCUCUGGUAUCAGGUCUGUUCGCCCUGAAUAACAAUUUAUAAAAGUAAACCAUUAUAGGUCAAUGUAUGGCCUUCCACACGGAACAACAAGCUAUAAACAUGAUAAAGGAUCCCUAAAUUACUAGUGUAAAACCCUUCGAACAGGAACAUCAAUGGUCUAAUCUAUAUAAAAAAAGGAGAAACCAGAAACAAGUAUAAAUAACAUAAACAUACGAAAACUACUGUACAUUUAUGCCAACUAAAAAGCAUGUGUGUUAACCGCACUACCCUUACCUACCUUUAUUUUUAUCCCUACCCUUAAGAUUUUUGUGACAGGUUUUGAUUAAGCACUGUUAAAGUCACAAUAUAGCUCCCAAAGAGUUGUGAAUUUGCUGUCUUUAUUCAUUCAUUUACUACAUGUACAUUGUACAAUGCAGCUAGAUUGAUACAAUAUAUGGUUCUCAAACUCAAAAAAAUGUUUUACAGACUAUGAGCUGGUUUUUUUUUCUCUCUAAAAAUUGGUUACUGUGAGACUUUUUCUUUACAUUUCCUUAGUGCAGGUCAUGUAUCACAGUUAUAAACAUGGAAUUUAGAGAACUUGUACAUGUCUUUACUUCUAUCGUUAAUAAAAUAGAAUCUGAAUAGAAUAUGCUUACAAAUGUAUUCCAAAUUAAAGGGCCCAGAACGGGCAACAUGAGAUUAUAACAUUACAGAUUACUCAGAUAAAACAAAUACAAAAUAACAAUACUGAAGAAAUGAAUUACUUGAUGAUGUGAUUGAUAUCAUAGCAUUUAUGACAUUUACACAAAUUAAUUAUCAUAUCUACAAAACUUUUUUUUUCAAUGAACCAAUGCAUUAUGUGUACAAUGUACAUGUAGAUGUAACUCACUGUACUGAUCAUGCAAAUGUACAAAUAUACAAUAUUUUAUUUCUUAUCAACAGGUUAAUGUUGAAGAUGGAAAAGCACAAAAAUAAUGUUAAAAUGAAAGCAGAUAUGAUAGAGAUCAUAUAGGUAAAUAUAUGAUAUAGUUGAUAAAAAAAAAUGAAUCAAACAAGUCAUAACAAGAGACUACUAAAUAGACAGCAAAUAAGACCUGUGUUGUGGCAUUAUUUGUGAAAUAUAAUCAUAUAUAGAAAUUGGAAAUUGACCAGUUACAAAGUAAAAAUAACACAAAGAACACUAAAAUUAUUAUUUUAUGAUCAAUUAAGGGUCAUAUCAGUACAAUUUACACAACAAUAUUUUCAUUACUCAACAUUGGAAUUGUUCUCUUUAUGAGAAUUAAACCUAGAAAAAAAUAUGUGUUCUUGUCAGCUUGACACUGAGAUCCUCAUUUAUAGUAUACAUGCAUUUAUGGUAAACCUGAAGACUACAUUUGUAUUUUUCAUUUUUGAAAAAAACACUUUUACCAUUAUUACAGCUAUUUUCCUAAUGCGUGUAGAGUAACACUUUGGUAGGUUUGCUUGCUCUGUUUGUAUAAAUAUUGAUUCAAGCUUUGUAAUUAAGGUUGAUAUCUUCAAACAAUAAAUAUAGGCAUAUUUGAACCUUUAUGGAGUACUUUUAAGUUUGAUUAGACGUUAUUGUCAAUUGCAAUUGUACAAUAUACAAACAAACCAUGCAAGCUAACUGAAGUCUUAGAUUUACAUGCCGUAGGAAAUUAGCUGUAAAAUUAAUUAUAUAUUUGUUUCCAAUGCUUAUUGUUUUACCAACUUCAAAUGUUUUGGCUUGUUUUUAAAUUGGUCUAUAUCAGCUAUAGGGUCAAAAGGGUCCAAAUUUAAACUUGAUUUCAUAAAACAAUUGAAUAAUUGGUGUUCUUUGAUAUUAUGCAAAAUUAAAUGGUGUAUUGUACUUUUUUGGGUUAAAUACUUCUUAUAUGUUUAGAUUUUUAAUAUUCGUUUUCAAAUUGCAAAAAAGAUAAAAAAAAAAAAAAACCUUUGUUAGUUUAUUAAAAUAUUAUUGAAGUUUUUUUUGUUAUCAUGCAUUAAGCAUGUUUAGAUUUAUGAUUUGGGCUCAGUUUUCAAGUUGAUUCAAAUUGGGGUCCAAACUUAAACUUUGUUUAAAUUCUUUAAAAAUUGCAUAUAUGGGGUUCUUUGAUAUGAUAAAUCUAAUCAUGUCUUUUAGACUUUAGAUUUUGGAUAUUGACACAAGUCCAAUUUCAAAAUCAUCAGUUCUUUUACCAGAAACCUACAUGUAUGAUGUGUCUAAUAAUUCAUCACAAUCCAAAUUCUGAACUGUAUCAUGUGAAUCAAGUUCGAAUGUAGUGUCUAUAUAGUGUCCCCCCCCCCACCUGAUGAAGGUGCAAUCUCUGCAUUUGUAAUAGAAUGUACCCUUGAGCUGUUUUAUUCUCAUUGUUGAAGGUUGUACAGAGGCAUUCAUUUCAUUUGAACUUUUGUGGAUAUUUGUCUCAUUUGCAAUCAAUACUCAUCUCCCUAUUUUUGUAUUGUCAUAACGUCAUAAAUACAAGAUGAAAUCUGUAAAAUUAACUUCAUUAAAAUUAAGUUUGCUGCAGCUUGGAAUAAGAAAAAAAUCUAAUUUAGGUCCAUUUUUAGCUAGUAUACUUUUAUUUCUUAUUCUAUGUACUGGAAUGUCAGAGUUGUGAUAAUCGAAAACACAUUUUUACACUAAGACAAAGUUAAUAAGUAAUUUCUUUUUAGGAAAUUUCAAUCAUUUAAUGGAUAACAAUUGUUUUCUUAUUAUUUUUUACAGACAUUUGGUGAUCCAAAAAUAAGUGGAGUUCAUGAAAGAAGACUGAUUGCUG
rnacentral:lncRNA from 1 species